UAUCACUUUUUACAGUGGUGGUCCAGCCAGUUUAAGAAUUGAAGCAAUUUUUGGAGCAGGAAAAAGCUGUUUUGUAGCAAUUUAGGAGCAGCCACAUUAGCAUUUGUAGCAGUUCUGUAGCACAAAAUUUUGCGUUUUGGAUCAGUUGGAGCAGGAGAAAAGCAAGUUCAUGACAUUUGGUGCAGCUUAUUACUACUGCACAAUUGUUAAGUACUUCUUUAGAGCAAAUGGACACAAGCAAGACAGACUGACGCAGCCAUUUAGCUCGGGUGCCCUC
rnacentral:lncRNA from 1 species